UCUUCACAAUGGACGAAAGUCUGAUGGAGCAACGCCGCGUGAGUGAAGAAGGGUUUCGGCUCGUAAAACUCUGUUGUUAAAGAAGAACAUAUCUGAGAGUAACUGUUCAGGUAUUGACGGUAUUUAACCAGAAAGCCACGGCUAACUACGUGCCAGCAGCCGCGGUAAUACGUAGGUGGCAAGCGUUGUCCGGAUUUAUUGGGCGUAAAGCGAGCGCAGGCGGUUUUUUAAGUCUGAUGUGAAAGCCUUCGGCUCAACCGAAGAAGUGCAUCGGAAACUGGGAAACUUGAGUGCAGAAGAGGACAGUGGAACUCCAUGUGUAGCGGUGAAAUGCGUAGAUAUAUGGAAGAACACCAGUGGCGAAGGCGGCUGUCUGGUCUGUAACUGACGCUGAGGCUCGAAAGUAUGGGUAGCAAACAGGAUUAGAUACCCUGGUAGUCCAUACCGUAAACGAUGAAUGCUAAGUGUUGGAGGGUUUCCGCCCUUCAGUGCUGCAGCUAACGCAUUAAGCAUUCCGCCUGGGGAGUACGGCCGCAAGGCUGAAACUCAAAGGAAUUGACGGGGCUUUU
rnacentral:rRNA from 1 species